rnacentral:rRNA from 1 species
ACGGUCGCAAGACUAAAACUCAAAGGAAUUGACGGGGACCCGCACAAGCGGUGGAGCAUGUGGUUUAAUUCGAUGCAACGCGAAAAACCUUACCACUCCUUGACAUGGAGAUUAGAUCCUUCUUAACGGAAGGGCGCAGUUCGGCUGGAUCUCGCACAGGUGCUGCAUGGCUGUCGUCAGCUCGUGUCGUGAGAUGUUGGGUUAAGUCCCGCAACGAGCGUAACCCUCAUCCUUAGUUGCCAGCGGGUAAUGCCGGGCACUUUAAGGAAACUGCCGGUGGUAAACUGGAGGAAGGUGGGGAUGAUGUCAAGUCAGCACGGCCCUUAUGGGGUGGGCUACACACGUGCUACAAUGGUGACUACAAUAGGUUGCAAUGUCGCAAGGCUGAGCUAAUCCGUAAAAGUCAUCUCAGUUCGGAUUGUCCUCUGCAACUCGAGGGCAUGAAGUCGGAAUCGCUAGUAAUCGUGGAUCAGCAUGCCACGGUGAAUACGUUCUCGGGUCUUGUACACACUGCCCGUCACGCCAUGGGAAUUGGCUUAACUCGAAGCUGGUGCGCUAA